rnacentral:rRNA from 1 species
UGGGGAAUUGUUCACAAUGGGCGCAAGCCUGAUGACGCAACGCCGCGUGGGGGAUGAAGGUCUUCGGAUCGUAAACCCCUGUCGAAUGGGACGAAAGACUCGCGAGUGAAUACUUCGCGAGAGUGACGGUACCGUUAAAGGAAGCCACGGCUAACUCUGUGCCAGCAGCCGCGGUAAUACAGAGGUGGCAAGCGUUGUUCGGAAUUACUGGGCGUAAAGGGCGCGUAGGCGGCCCUCUAAGUCAGACGUGAAAUCCCCCGGCUUAACCUGGGAACUGCGUCUGAUACUGGAGGGCUUGAGUAUGGGAGAGGGAUGUAGAAUUCCAGGUGUAGCGGUGAAAUGCGUAGAUAUCUGGAGGAAUACCGGUGGCGAAGGCGGCAUCCUGGACCAUUACUGACGCUGAGGCGCGAAAGCUAGGGGAGCAAACGGGAUUAGAUACCCAUGUAGUCCCUGAGCGGGCUGGCAAGGCGCAU